AUAGGUCCCAAUCACAGCAGCAGAAAAUAUAAUAAAUACUCACUUUCUUUGGGUGAAAGAUAAACCACACAAUUAUUUGCAGGAUAAUUCUCGUACCUUUAUUCAUUGCUAACGUUCCAAUAAAUAGAGUUAAGCUUAACAGAUCAGCUUCAACUCAGGAAACUAACUAGCCAAAAUUCAAGGAAAUAAGUUGUAACAACUUUGAAUGAGUAGAAAUACUAAACAUCAGAAAAUAAAAUAAAAAGCUUUUACUGCUGCUAUUUACUGGUUUAGACUUGGUCUAACACAAGCUAAAAACUUGGGAUUCUUCUUAGGAGUUCGCUGAGAUCUUCUUGGCCUAUCAAUACUUCCCCCGCCAAUUGGAUCCUUGUCCUCAAGGUCCAGAUAAGGAAACUGAUUACGCAGCAGUGAUGAGUCUUCCCAUGUAGCAUCUUCUUUGGGCAACUGCUUCCACUUUACCAAGCUCUCCUCGAUGAAUUUAUUGCCUUGCUUAAUCCAGCGUGUAUCGAGGAUAGUCUCUGGUUCUACGGAAGCCACACCUUCAUCAGUAAUAGGUGAAAGCUCUAAAGUAACUUGUGGAGGACCCCCAACAUAUUUCUUCAAGAGAGAGACAUGAAAAACAUGGUGAAUUUUGGUGCCUACUGGUAGGUGUAAUUGGUAAGCAACAUUACCGAUCUUCUUCUCGAUUUGAUAAGGGCCAUAGAACUUGCUAGCAAGUUUUUGAUGAACACGUUUGAAGGCAGUUUGUUGGCGAUAAGGAUGAAGCCUGAGAAGGACCAUCUCACCUACUUGAAACUCCACAUUUCGCCUCUUUUUGUCUGCUGUUUGUUUCAUCCUAUUGGCUGCCAUGUCCAAAUUCUUCUUCAAGUGCUGGAGCAAUUCAUCCCGCUGUAAGAGGUUUUGAUCAACUUCAUUAACCCGAGAUAACCCAUCAAAAUAAAGUAGAAUGGAGGGAGGAAGCCGACCAUACAAGGCUUGGAAAGGUGUCAUCCCCGUUGAACUGUGGUAUGUGGUAUUAUACCAUAAUUCUGCCCAAGGUAAAUAACUAUACCAUUUUCGUGGCCAUUGAUGGACGAAACAGCGGAGGUAUUGUUCAACACAGCGGUUCAUAACUUCGGUUUGUCCGUCGGUCUGCGGGUGGUAAGCGGAGCUCAAUUUCAACUUGGUUCCUGACAUAGUAAAGAACUCUUGCCAGAACUUGCUGAUAAAGAUGGGGUCGCGGUCACUAAUGAUUGAGUUCGGCAUGCCAUGGAGUUUGAUGAUGUGCUCUACAAAUUGUUCAGCUACAAUCUUUGCAGAAAAUGGAUGAGAUAAGGCAACAAAAUGAGCAUACUUACUUAGUCGAUCUACGACCACCAAAAUACUAUCCUUGCCGUGGGAGGAGGGAAGACCUUCAAUAAAAUCUAGACUAAUAUCAUCCCACACUUGACAGGGAAUGGGAAGUGGCUGAAGUAAUCCCGCUAGGGCCAGAGUUUCAGUUUUUGUUUUUUGGCAAACUUCACAUUGCGUAAUGUAGUCUUGGACGGGCCGGUACAUGGACGGCCAAUAAAAUUGUUGAGCUAACCUUUUGAAUGUCCUCAAUACACCAGAAUGCCCUGCCAUUUUGUUGUCAUGAAAUUCUUGUAGCAGCUGGUUGCGGAUAACUUGCGGAACAAUUACUCGUGUUUUGUAGAAGCAGAGACCAUUACGCAUUGAGUAUGGACCAGUGGGAUCUAUAGUGGAUUGGCGGCUCACUUGCUGCAUAUAAGGAUCAUCUUAUGCUGCCGUUCUCAUGUCAUCCCAAAGGGUAACCUGUGAAACAAACAAAGGAUUAAGGAGAGGGCUGUCAGGGCGGCGAGAGAGGGCAUCAGCUGCUGAAUUUUCACGUCCUGGCCGGUAAAGAAUUUCGUAGUCAUAGCCUAAAAGCUUUGCUACCUAUUUUUGUUGCUCAGGAGUGGCCACACGUUGAUCCAAAAAAUAUUUGAGACUCCGAUGAUCGGUCCGAAUGAAGAAUUUCCUGCCCAAAAGAUAUGGCCGCCAAGUCUGAAUUGCUUCUACAAUUGCGAGCAUUUCCUUAGCGUAGAUGGACCAUGCUCGUUUACUAAUUCCCAAGGCGCGACUCAUAAAUGCAAUUGGCUGACCCUGCUGAGUAAGGACAGCACCGAUUCCAUCACCUGAAGCAUCAGUUUCAACAAUAAAAGAGUCAUUGAAAUUUGGCAUGGCUAAAGUUGGGGUAGUUGUCAUGGCUUGCUUGAGCAGCUUGAAUGCACUUGCUGCUUCUUCAGUCUACUGAAAGCUUCCCUUUUUAAAGAGAUUGGUAAGGGGGCGAGCCAAAAGUCCAUAGUUCUGAACAAAUUUCCGGUAAUAACCUGUCAAGCCUAAAAAACCACGCAAUUCAGUAAUAUUAGCAGGUUGGGGCCAAGCUACCAUGGCCUCAAUUUUGUUGUUGUCUACCUUUACCCCUUGAUGCGUCACAAUAUGGCCCAAAUACUCCAGUUCUUGUUUGCCAAAGUCACACUUGCUUCCUUUGAUGAAAAACUGAUGUUGUCUCAGGAUGUCUAAUGUGGUUCUGACAUGUUCUAUAUGUAAUUCCCAGGUAGGACUAUAAACAAGAAUAUCAUCAAAAAAGACUAGUAUGAACUUGCGAAGAUGAGGAUGGAAUAUCGAAUUCAUAAUGGCUUGGAAGGUGGAAGGGGCAUUGCAUAGACCAAAAGGCAUAACUAGAUACUCAAAAUGGCCAUUAUAGGUUCUAAAUGCAGUUUUUGGAAUAUCGGAAGCAUGUACUCGUACCUGAUGAUAUCCAGCUCUCAAGUCUAGUUUGGUGAAAUAGGCUGCCCCAUACAACUCAUCUAGCAUAUCAUCUACCGUGGGGAUAGGAAACCGGUCUUUGAUGGUGGCUGCAUUUAGUACCCGAUAAUCUGUGCAAAAUCGCCAAGUACCAUCUUUUUUCUUCACCAACAAAACGGGCGAUGAGAAUGGACUGGUGCUGGGUCGAAUGAUUCCCAUGUUGAGCAUCUCGUGGACCUGUUUUUCGAUCUCUGCUUUUUGAAAAUAUGCAUAUCUAUAGGGCCGAACAUUGAUGGGUUGAGUACCUUCUUUGAGGGGAAUGUGAUGGUCGAUAUCUCUUAAGGGUGGUAGCGUGGUUGGUUCCUUGAACACAUCUGCAUAGUCCUUCAAUGUCUGCUGCAUAUUAGGACUGAUGUCUGCCCAGGUGGACCUCUCGGCAUUGUGCAGGUAGAUAGCAAACAUCAUUUGGCCUUGGCGCAUCUCUUUCGCAACCGAUGUCAAUGAUGUAGCUUGAAUGGUUUGGUUAAUUCCUUGUAACCUCCGUGCUUGAUUAUCCCAGUGGAAGUCCAUGGUUAAUUGUUUCCAAUUGCAGACCAUAGAACCUAGCAUCUCUAGCCAUUGGAUGCCUAACACUAUAUCAAGUCCUGCUAGGGGUAGAGAAUAGAGGGUGAGUGAAAAAGUAAUGCCUUGUAAAUUCACUUGUACCUCUUCAAAGCGACCUUGGCAGGUUAAUCGUUCCCCAUUUGCUACGCGGACUGCAAACGAUUUCGUUGGUAUCACUGGAAGUCGAAUCAAUCUAGCUACUCUCUCACUCAAGAAAUUGUGAGUAGAUCCACUGUCAAUCAACACCAUCACGUGUUGAGACCCAAUAGUAGCUGUUACUCGCAUGGUUUGAGGGGAUGUCCAGCCUGUAAGUGCAUGUAAUGAGAUUUCUGGUUCGACUUGAUCUUCUGGAGUUUCUGCCCUCUGCAACUCUCUGUCUUCCAUCUCAUAUUCUUUGGUUUGGUUGCUGCUUGGGCACUCAAGAAGGAGUAGUUGAGGUCCUUGACACUUGUGUCUGGGGGUGAAUUUCUCGUUGCAGUUGAAACAAAGACCUUGUGUUCUCCGUUUCUGCAUUUCGUCCCAACUCAACCUCUUGGGUGUGGCUGUUGGGUUAGAACGAUUCAUUGUGGUGCUGGUGGUAGGUACACGGUUCAGAAGUGGAGGUCGCGUGAACCUCUUUGUUCUGGCAAUCUGCUCAUCCCUCAUUCUUGAUAGGCUGAUGGCUUCCUUCAAUGUUUUGGGCUUGAACAUUCGAAUUCCAUCGGCAAUUUCGGGUUUCAAUCCUCCCAUGAAAGUGCCAACGAGAGCCUUCUGUGUCCAUCCGUGAACUCGAUUGACAAGCCUCUCAAACUCUUUUUGGUAAUCACGAAGGGAUCCAACCUGUCGAACUCUAGACAGAGCUUCAUCAAAAUCUUCACACUCUGUUGGUCCAAAACGAGCCCAUAAUUCCUCUUCAAAGAACUCCCAGGUCACUGAGCGGCCUUCCUCCUGGUAAGUCCGACGCAUCCAUUGCCACCAUUGAUUAGCUUCUCCUUCAAGGUGGAAAGAUGCUAGAGUUACCUUCUGAUUAUCUGCUAUGCCUUGAAAUUCAAAGAAUUGAGCUACUCUACUAAGCCAUUCAGUGGGAUCUUCUCCAGAGUAUUUUGGAAACUCCAACCUUGCCAUCUUGGAAUAGAAAAUCUGUCUGCCGCCGUUAUUCUCCUCUCGAUGUGAACGGAAAGAUCAUUCUCGCCCAUGGUUGUUGUUGCUAGAGGCUUCUCUGGUUGAAAGAAAAGCUUCUGAAAGUUUGUUGAUGGUUUCCUCCAAAUGGUGCAGCUUAUCAGUUACGCCUAACUCCAAUUGAUGCAUUCCAUCUUGAACUCCAUCGAGUCCAGCCUCCAAAGCCUCAAUCCUCUCUUUGUUGGAUGCCAUUAUAACCUGCUCUGAUACCAAUGAUAGGUCCCAAUCACAGCAGCAGAAAAUAUAAUAAAUACUCACUUUCUUUGGGUGAAAGAUAAACCACACAAUUAUUUACAGGAUAAUUCUCGUACCUUUAUUCAUUGCUAACGUUCCAAUAAAUAGAGUUAAGCUUAACAGAUCAGCUUCAACUCAGGAAACUAACUAGCCAAAAUUCAAGGAAAUAAGUUGUAACAACUUUGAAUGAGUAGAAAUACUAAACAUCAGAAAAUAAAAUAAAAAGCUUUUGCUGCUGCUAUUUACUGGUAUAGACUUAGACUUGGUCUAACACAAGCUAAAAACUUGGGAUUCUUCUUAGGAGUUCGCUGAGAUCUUCUUGGCCUAUCA
rnacentral:lncRNA from 1 species